AGACCUGAAAUCGUAUGCCUACAAGCAGUUGGAGCUUGAAAUACAGCGAUGUAUGGAAAGUGACAGCGUGCCUAUUGAAAAAUGAGCCGGCGAGAUAUUGCAUGCAGCGAGGUUAAGGGAUGAAGUUCCGGAGCCGAAGCGAAAGCGAGUUCGAAGAGAGCGCGAAGUUGCCUGCAAUAAACCCGAAGCCUGACGAUCUAGCCAUGGGCAGGUUGAAGUGGGGGUGAAACCCCAUGGAGGACCGCACCAGUGCCUGUUGAAAAAGUCUUGGAUGACCUGUGGUUAGGAGUGAAAAGCUAAUCGAGUUAGGUAAUAGCUGGUUCUCCCCGAAAUGCAUUGAGGUGCAGCCUUGAUGGAUUCGUGUCGAGGGUAGAGCGACUGACAGCUCAAGCGGUCCUGGGGGAUUUGCGCGAGCCAUCAAACUCCGAAUAUCGACACGAGAAAGUCAGGAGUGAGACCGCGGGUGAUAAGGUUCGUGGUCGAAAGGGAAACAGCCCAGAUCAUCAGCUAAGGCCCCGAAGAGCAUGCUAAGUGUGACAAGGAUGUAGGGACCCGGAAACAGCCAGGAGGUUGGCUCAGAAGCAGCCAUCCUUUAAAGAGUGCGUAACAGCUCACUGGUCGAGGACCCCCGCGCCGAAAAUGUAGGGGGCUAAGCAUGCCGCCGAAGCUAUGGGAUGGAGAAAUCCAUCGGUAGGGGAGCGUAGUUAACGGGCCGAAGCAAUGCCGUAAGACAUUGUGGACCGUUAAGUAGUGAGAAUGCCGGCAUGAGUAACGACAUAUUUGCGAGAAUCAAAUACACCGGAAGACCAAGGAUUCCUGGGGAAGGUUGAUCCGCCCAGGGUAAGGCGGGACCUAAGUCAAGGCUGAAAAGCGUAGAUAAUGGACAGCAGGUCGAAAUUCCUGCCCCGCGAUAAGUUCGCUACGACCGAAGCAGCGACGCAGAAAGCUAGACAGGCCGGCUGAUGGAAUAGCCAGUCCAAGGAAGCAGGUUGGAGAGACAGUCAAGCACAUCUCUCCGUCAAGACCGAGAUCCGAGAGGGAGCCUCUUUCGAGGCGAAGCUGUUGAAGCUCUGCUGCCAGGAAAACCUGCUAGGGAGAACUUAUGGCGCCCGUACCCGAAACCGACACAGGUGGUCAAGCUGAGCAAGCUAAGGUGAGUGGAAUAACUCUCGUUAAGGAACUCUGCAAGUUAACUCCGUAACUUAGGGAGAAGGAGUGCUGCCCCCGUCAAUCGUAAGGUGAAGCGGGGAGCAGCCACAGAAACCAGGCUCAAGCGACUGUUUACCAAAAACACAGGACUCUGCAUAAGACGCAAGUCGAAGUAUAGAGUCUGACGCCUGCCCGGUGCUGGAAGGUUAAAUGGAAGAGUGAGCCGCAAGGCGCAGCUUAGAAAUGAAGCCCCAGUAAACGGCGGCCGUAACUAUAACGGUCCUAAGGUAGCGAAAUUCCUUGUCGGGUAAGUUCCGACCUGCACGAAUGGCGUAACGAUUUGAGCGCUGUCUCAACGAGAGAUCCAGUGAAAUUGUGGUACCGGUCAAGACGCCGGUUACCCGUGGUAGGACGGAAAGACCCCAUGGAGCUUUACUGUAGCCUGAUACUGAUAUUUGAAAUUUCAUGCACAGGAUAGGUGGGAGGCGAAGAAGAGAGAGCUUUGGCUUUCUUUGAGCCGACGUUGGGAUACCACCCUUGUGAUUUCGAAUGUCUAACUUUAGCGUCUGAAUCGACGAAGAGGACACAGUCAGGUGGGCAGUUUGACUGGGGCGGUCGCCUCCCAAAGAGUAACGGAGGCGCGCAAAGGUCAACUCAUGGCGAAUGGAAACCGCCAAGAGAGCGCAAGGGUAUAAGUUGGCUUAACUGCGAGAGAGACAUCUCGAGCAGAGACGAAAGUCGGUCCUAGUGAUCCGGCGGUGCUGAAUGGAAAGGCCGUCGCUCAACGGAUAAAAGCUACC
rnacentral:rRNA from 1 species